CGCUCGGUGGCCUAUUGGUUAGAGCGUCCGACUCGGAUUCGGAAGGUAGUGGGUUCAGACCCCGGCCGAGUCA